rnacentral:rRNA from 1 species
UGGGCGCAGCCUGAUGCAGCCAUGCCGCGUGUGUGAAGAAGGCCUUCGGGUUGUAAAGCACUUUCAGUAAGGAGGAAAGGUUAAGUGUUAAUAGCACUUAGCUGUGACGUUACUUACAGAAGAAGCACCGGCUAACUCCGUGCCAGCAGCCGCGGUAAUACGGAGGGUGCGAGCGUUAAUCGGAAUUACUGGGCGUAAAGCGUACGCAGGCGGUUUGUUAAGCGAGAUGUGAAAGCCCCGGGCUCAACCUGGGAACUGCAUUUCGAACUGGCAAACUAGAGUGUGAUAGAGGGUGGUAGAAUUUCAGGUGUAGCGGUGAAAUGCGUAGAGAUCUGAAGGAAUACCGAUGGCGAAGGCAGCCACCUGGGUCAACACUGACGCUCAUGUACGAAAGCGUGGGGAGCAAACAGGAUUAGAUACCCUGGUAGUCCACGCCGUAAACGAUGUCUACUAGAAGCUCGGGUCUUCGGACUUGUUUUUCAAAGCUAACGCAUUAAGUAGACCGCCUGGGGAGUACGGCCGCAAGGUUAAAACUCAAAUGAAUUGACGGGGGCCCGCACAAGCGGUGGAGCAUGUGGUUUAAUUCGAUGCAACGCGAAGAACCUUACCUACACUUGACAUACAGAGAACUUACCAGAGAUGGUUUGGUGCCUUCGGGAACUCUGAUACAGGUGCUGCAUGGCUGUCGUCAGCUCGUGUUGUGAGAUGUUGGGGUUAAGUCCCGCAACGAGCGCAACCCCUAUCCUUAGUUGCCAGCGAUUCGGUCGGGAACUCUAAAGAGACUGCCGGUGAUAAACCGGAAGAAGGUGGGGGGACGACGUCAAGUCAUCAUGGCCCUUA